GGGGGGUUUCUCAAUUCUGUAUGCUUUAAUUUUUUUAGCCAUUUUUGUCGAGUCUUGACUUCAGUGGAAAAAGCGCGACAUAGCAAUCCUACAUUCCGUCAGCGUCUAAGUACCACAACUCUGCAUAUAAUCAUCAAACAGGUACAAAAUUUAAACUUGGUUUGUAAACAUGUCAGAUAAAACUAUACCAAUGAACAAAUCAAUAUCUUUAAAUAUGAC
rnacentral:lncRNA from 1 species